rnacentral:rRNA from 1 species
GACGAACGCUGGCGGCGUGCUUAACACAUGCAAGUCGAACGGAAAGGCCCUGCUUUUGUGGGGUGCUCGAGUGGCGAACGGGUGAGUAACACGUGAGUAACCUGCCCUUGACUUUGGGAUAACUUCAGGAAACUGGGGCUAAUACCGGAUAGGAGCUCCUGCUGCAUGGUGGGGGUUGGAAAGUUUCGGCGGUUGGGGAUGGACUCGCGGCUUAUCAGCUUGUUGGUGGGGUAGUGGCUUACCAAGGCUUUGACGGGUAGCCGGCCUGAGAGGGUGACCGGCCACAUUGGGACUGAGAUACGGCCCAGACUCCUACGGGAGGCAGCAGUGGGGAAUAUUGCACAAUGGGCGGAAGCCUGAUGCAGCAACGCCGCGUGCGGGAUGACGGCCUUCGGGUUGUAAACCGCUUUCGCCUGUGACGAAGCGUGAGUGACGGUAAUGGGUAAAGAAGCACCGGCUAACUACGUGCCAGCAGCCGCGGUGAUACGUAGGGUGCGAGCGUUGUCCGGAUUUAUUGGGCGUAAAGGGCUCGUAGGUGGUUGAUCGCGUCGGAAGUGUAAUCUUGGGGCUUAACCCUGGGCGUGCUUUCGAUACGGGUUGACUUGAGGAAGGUAGGGGAGAAUGGAAUUCCUGGUGGAGCGGUGGAAUGCGCAGAUAUCAGGAGGAACACCAGUGGCGAAGGCGGUUCUCUGGGCCUUUCCUGACGCUGAGGAGCGAAAGCGUGGGGAGCGAACAGGCUUAGAUACCCUGGUAGUCCACGCUGUAAACGGUGGGUACUAGGUGUGGGGUCCAUUCCACGGGUUCCGUGCCGUAGCUAACGCUUUAAGUACCCCGCCUGGGGAGUACGGCCGCAAGGCUAAAACUCAAAGGAAUUGACGGGGCCCCGCACAAGCGGCGGAGCAUGCGGAUUAAUUCGAUGCAACGCGUAGAACCUUACCUGGGUUUGACAUGGAUCGGGAGUGCCCAGAGAUGGGUGUGCCUCUUUUGGGGUCGGUUCACAGGUGGUGCAUGGCUGUCGUCAGCUCGUGUCGUGAGAUGUUGGGUUAAGUCCCGCAACGAGCGCAACCCUUGUUCACUGUUGCCAGCACGUUAUGGUGGGGACUCAGUGGAGACCGCCGGGGUCAACUCGGAGGAAGGUGGGGAUGACGUCAAGUCAUCAUGCCCCUUAUGUCCAGGGCUUCACGCAUGCUACAAUGGCUGGUACAGAGAGUGGCGAGCCUGUGAGGGUGAGCGAAUCUCGGAAAGCCGGUCUCAGUUCGGAUUGGGGUCUGCAACUCGACCUCAUGAAGUCGGAGUCGCUAGUAAUCGCAGAUCAGCAACGCUGCGGUGAAUACGUUCCCGGG